rnacentral:rRNA from 1 species
CUAGCUCGCUAGUAUGUCAGCUAAGUGGCGGACGGGUGAGUAAUGUAUAGUUAAUCUGCCCUUCAGAGGGGGAUAACUACUGGAAACGGUAGCUAAUACCCCAUAUACCUUCUGCCUUAAUGGUAGUUGGGAAAUGUCUUUUCGCUGAAGGAUGAGACUAUAUGGUAUCAGGUAGUUGGUGGGGUAAGAGCCCACCAAGCCAAUGACGCCUAGCUGGUCUGAGAGGAUGAUCAGCCACACUGGAACUGAGACACGGUCCAGACUCCUACGGGAGGCAGCAGUGGGGAAUAUUGCACAAUGGAGGAAACUCUGAUGCAGCAACGCCGCGUGGAGGAUGACACAUUUCGGUGCGUAAACUCCUUUUAUAUGGGAAGAUAAUGACGGUACCAUAUGAAUAAGCACCGGCUAACUCCGUGCCAGCAGCCGCGGUAAUACGGAGGGUGCAAGCGUUACUCGGAAUCACUGGGCGUAAAGCGCGCGCAGGCGGCUAUUUAAGUUGGAUGUGAAAGCCUACGGCUCAACCGUAGAACUGCAUCCAAAACUAUUUAGCUAGAGUGUGGGAGAGGAAGAUGGAAUUAGUUGUGUAGGGGUAAAAUCCGUAGAGAUAACUAGGAAUACCAAAAGCGAAGGCAAUCUUCUGGAACACUACUGACGCUGAGGCGCGAAAGCGUGGGGAGCAANCAGGAUUAGAUACCCCUGGUAGUCCACGCAGUAAACGAUGAAUGUUAGUCGUCNGAGGCCUAGUGUCUUCGGUGAUGCAGCUAACGCAUUAAACAUUCCGCCUGGGGAGUACGGUCGCAAGAUUAAAACUCAAAGGAAUAGACGGG